rnacentral:misc_RNA from 1 species
UAACUUUGUUUUGCAACUCGAUGUGAGAGGGUAUGUAUAACAGUUUGACUUGGAUCCAUUUAUUAAGUGUGUAUACAAGUCUAUCAUCCUUUAGAGACAAGCAUAUUACAAUUUGACUGCCAGCUGUUUAGAGCUAGUAAUGAGGAAAGGGAGCCAGGUGACAAGCUGUCUUCUGAGGUGUUUUCAAUAAUUUUGAUGCCUACAUCGUGAUAUUGUAUCAAGAAACUAAUAAUCAUACACAAUUCUCAUCCACAAGCUCAGCUUGCUACUAAAUUAAGUGCCAUUGAACACAUUCACAAUCUACAGACUGAAAACAGCAGCAUCACAGACCAAUAUCACUACCAGUUGCCCCAUUUCCAACUUGAUCUAGCCAGUCAUGCUUUUCUGGACAAGUAAUGGACAUUACAUGGCAGGCUGACAGGAUGUCAUUAAAGCCUCGUGCGGUGAAUUUUGAUGAAGUAUGGGGUGGCUUAUUGGAGACAGUGCAGCAGGUGGUCACAAUGGGAUCCAUUAAACGCACCGUCUGGAAUGAGAGGUUCUCUGAUGUGUAUUCCCUCUGUGUUGCGUUCCCCGAACCUCUUGCAGAAAGGCUCUACACCGAAACAAAGAAACUUCUGGAAAAUCAUGUUCGAGAACUUUAUUCUAGGGUAAGCAAGCAGAGGGAGGAGAACUUGCUGGCAGAAUACCACCGUUUCUGGUUACAAUUCAGUAAAGGCACACAGUAUCUCAACAACCUCUACUCCUAUUUAAAUUCACAACACAUUCAGAAGCAGAAGUUCAGCGAUGCAGAUCUUACUUAUGGCACCAUGCAGAUGGACGUAUCUGAACAACUUUUAGAAAUAGGUGAACUUGGGCUCGAGAUAUGGCAGAAGGAGAUGAUUACACCGCUACAGUCACGUCUGGUGGGGGUAUUGCUCUCUGGUAUUCAGCAGGAUCGUAUGGGAGCGACCACGGAUGCUCCAACAUCUACCAUUCGUGGUGUUAUUCACUCUUUUGUCGAUGUUAAUAUGUAUAAAAAGAAGUCUACUUUACAGCUGUACGAAACAGUGUUUGAAGCAGAACUAUUAAGUGAAACUGGUUCAUUUUAUUGUAAGGAAGCAUCUUCCCAACUUCAAGUGUGUAACGUGUCUCAUUACAUGGAGCGAGUCAUAGCCAGACUGGCUGAAGAGGAACUGCGAGCAACUAAGUUCCUCCCUCCUAGUUCACAUCAGAAAGUGGUGAAAGAGGUUCAGGAUCGGAUGGUUGCUGACCACCUGUCUACUGUUCAUGCCGAGACAGGAGCUAUGGUUAACUCGGAGCGGACCCGAGAUCUCUCCAAUAUGUAUACGUUACUGCGGCCAGUACCCAGUGGACUAAUGCAGCUCGUUCACCACCUCAAAGACCACAUAAAGCAACAAGGACUUAAGGCAAUAACCAAUCUUAAAGGAGAUAAUAUUCCUGCUCAGUUUGUUGAAAGUCUUCUGGAAGUUCACAAGAAGUACCGUACCAUGAUUAUUGAUGUGUUCCAUAAUGAUCAGCAGUUUGUGGGGGCUCUUGAUAAAGCCUUCGAGAGUGUUGUCAAUCAUAGAGGAGCCACUAAAGUUAUUUGCCGAUCUCCAGAACUCCUUGCAAGAUACUGUGAUACUCUUCUUAAGAAGUCUACUAAAGGCCUCAAUGAGAGUGAAGUAGAUGAUAAGCUAUGUCACAGCAUAACUAUAUUCAAGUAUAUUGAUGAUAAGGAUGUGUAUCAAAAGUUCUAUGCACGAAUGCUAGCGAAGCGGCUCAUACAGCAGCAGAGUCAGUCUAUGUAUUCAGAAGAGGCCAUGAUCAAUAAGCUUAAGCAAGCAUGUGGGUAUGAAUACACGAGCAAACUUCAUCGCAUGUUCACGGAUAUGUCUGUAAGCUCAGACUUGAAUCAUAAAUUCAAUGACUUCCUCAAGGCGAAGAACAUUGAAUUGGGCAUCAAUUUCUCCAUUAACGUUCUUCAGGCAGGAGCUUGGCCAUUGGGACAGACGACUGUCUCACCCUUCGCUGUGCCUCAGGAACUGGAAAAGUCUGUUCAAACAUUCGAAAGUUUUUAUCACAAGCAUUUUAAUGGUAGGAAGCUAACAUGGCUACAUCAUCUAUGCCAAGGAGAAUUGAGAGUGAGUCACAGCAAAAGAACGUAUCUCAUCACCAUGUCCACCUUCCAGAUGGCAAUGUUGCUCAUGUAUGAGAAGGUGGAUAGCCUUACAUGCAACGAACUCCAGACACACACGCAUCUCAAUGAAGAGCAGUUUACUAAGUUUCUACAGUCAUUGCUGGACAGCAAGCUUCUCUUGACUGAUGCUGAGAAUCUCCAAGGUGAUGCAGUUGUGCGUCUGAACACCGAUUACAGCAACAAGCGGACUAAAUUCAAGAUCAGUGUUGCACCACAAAAAGAGCAGCAACAUGAAACAGAGCAGACACAUUCAGCUGUUGAAGAGGAUCGUAAACUAUACCUUCAAGCAGCUAUAGUUAGGAUAAUGAAAGCGCGGAAACUGCUCAAACAUACUAUGCUUAUUCAAGAGGUCAUCAGCCAGUCUCGAGCGAGGUUUGCACCACAAAUCCCAAUGAUCAAGAAAUGUAUAGAACUACUAAUUGACAAACAAUACCUUGAACGUACCCCUAAUUCUACGGACGAAUAUAGCUACGUUGCUUAAUUCUUAGAUUUGUUAGUUUUCAUAAUUUGUGGAAAGAUCUGUGUUUGUUGGCCUUAGAGAAGAAACAUAAUUUUGCUAUUGUUUUUUUAUUUUACUCAUAAAUAAUUUUUAUUGAAGCAUCCUUUAAAGGUUGACACUCACAGAUGAAACUAUCCUUCAAAAUCUGGCUUCACUCCUUGGUGAAGCAUGUACAGUGUGUUGCCUGUUUGACGGUGAAUUUUGUACAUUGAUGUAGGUGUUGAACUUUCCUUGCCUCUACAAAAGGUUGAUAUUUUCAGCCUGAUAUGUAAAUAACCCAGAUAGGAUGGUGUAGUUGAUAUGGGUUGUAUGCUACUGCUUGUUCUAAAGGCUGGGCUCUGGACACGGGCCACAUCCAGCAUUGUCGAUAGAGGGACUGCUUGGCACAUACAGCAAAGGGGGUGUUUGCUCCAACAUCUUUUCCACACGUACGUGUGAAUAUGUUGCCAAGCACAAGUCACAGAGAACAUGAAACAAACUAAU